CAUCACCCUUUGUGACAUACCUUAACUGUUGCUUCGGCGGGUAGGCGUCCCCUAAAAAGGACGUCUCCCGGCCCUCUCCCGUCCGCGGGUGGGGCGCCCGCCGGAGGAUAACCAAACUCUGAUUUAACGACGUUUCUUCUGAGUGACACAAGCAAAUAAUCAAAACUUUUAACAACGGAUCUCUUGGUUCUGGCAUCGAUGAAGAACGCAGCGAAAUGCGAUAAGUAAUGUGAAUUGCAGAAUUCAGUGAAUCAUCGAAUCUUUGAACGCACAUUGCGCCCGCCAGCAUUCUGGCGGGCAUGCCUGUUCGAGCGUCAUUUCAACCCUCAAGCUCUGCUUGGUGUUGGGGCUCUACGGUUGACGUAGGCCCUUAAAGGUAGUGGCGGACCCUCUCGGAGCCUCCUUUGCGUAGUAACAUUUCGUCUCGCAUUGGGAUUCGGAGGGACUCUAGCCGUAAAACCCCCAAUUUUACUAAGGUUGACCUCGGAUCAGGUAGGAAUACCCGCUGAACUUAAGCAUAUCAAAAACGGGAUCGUAGCGAUCAUUACAGAAUUACCGCU
rnacentral:rRNA from 1 species